UACAGAGGUCUCAAGCGUUGUUCGGAUUCAUUGGGCGUAAAGGGUGCGUAGGCGGCGCGGUAAGUCGGGUGUGAAAUCUUGGAGCUUAACUCCGAAACUGCAUUCGAUACUGCCGUGCUUGAGGACUGGAGAGGAGACUGGAAUUUACGGUGUAGCGGUGAAAUGCGUAGAUAUCGUAAGGAAGACCAGUGGCGAAGGCGGGUCUCUGGACCAGUUCCUGACGCUGAGGCACGAAGGCCAGGGGGAGCAAACGGG
rnacentral:rRNA from 1 species